GAAAGUGUCUCCAGUGUACCGACACUAUGACACUAAUAGGGCGAUAGCUCAAGCCAAGGAAUCAAGGUCUUAUCAUGAUCCAAACUCAAAUGACAGACUAAACCACAUCAUUAAGAAUCAUGUAUAAUGGAGACGUCAUUAUUAUCAAGGUUGCUUCUAUGGAUAACAUAUAGAUAUCCAUUGUCCAGUCCUACUACUCAACCAUUUUUGAAAUGACUAUAGAAGAGGUAUCAUCACUGAUGACCAAGCUAAUUGGCUCUAGCGCAGGUGGGAGAUUGUUGGAAAUGUGCCCUAAAACCAAUCAUAUGAUGAUACUUUACGGAUGUUUCACAUGUUAAACUAAUAUAGUUUAAUAUAAAGGGCAAAGAUUAUUGUUUGAAGCCGUCUCAUAUAAAUGUUAUACGCUUAAACAAUAAGUCGAAGGAAUAUGUAAUUGGGAGAAUGUGAUCUAAAGAAGUUAAAUUCAUGCGACCAUUCUCUUUCGUAUACAUAUCCUAAACGUUCCUGAUUAUAGGAUUGCCAAUUGGGCAUUGAUAGUCCGUUAAGAUCCGUACGUGCUAUGUCUUCUCUUAGGGAGAGUGACUGGUCUCGAGUCAUUGGUGUGACUGACACCAAGACAAGUAUGUAGGUGCUCAAUAGAGAAUGAGUCCACUGAACACGAUCAACAAGGAGUUCUCAUACUCAUGUCACAUGAGAACUCAUGGUUGGGAUAAUGCAAAGUAGUCAUUUGACCUGAGGCAUCAUAGUUGUCUUAUGGUUAGGUCCUUGAUCUUUGACUAUGUCAAAGUCACUCCGUCAGAAAGUGUCAACGGCAUAGUUGGGGUUAAGCCACUUAGGCAUGGAGGCAAGU
rnacentral:lncRNA from 1 species